UACGGAGGGGGCCAGCGUUGUUCGGAAUUACUGGGCGUAAAGCGUACGUGGGCGGUUAUUCAAGUCAGAGGUGAAAGCCCGGGGCUCAACCCCGGAACUGCCUUUGAAACUAGAUAACUAGAGUCUUGGAGAGGUUAGUGGAAUUCCGAGUGUAGAGGUGAAAUUCGUAGAUAUUCGGAAGGACACCAGUGGCGAAGGCGACUAACUGGACAAGUACUGACGCUGAGGUACGAAAGCGUGGGGAGCAAACAGG
rnacentral:rRNA from 1 species